rnacentral:rRNA from 1 species
GACAGAGGUGCCGAGCGUUAGGCGGAAUCACUGGGCUUAAAGCGUGUGUAGGCGGGCGAUCAAGUACCUUGUGAAAUCCCACGGCUCAACCGUGGAACCGCUGGGUAUACUGGUUGUCUUGAGCCGGCUAGGGGCGAGCGGAACAGACGGUGGAGCGGUGAAAUGCGUAGAUAUCGCCUGGAACGCCAAAGGAGAAAUCAGUCUGCUGGGGGUGUGCCGACGCUGAGACACGAAAGCCAGGGGAGCGAACGGG